CCCGGAUGUUAGCGGCGGACGGGUGAGUAACACGUGGGUAACCUGCCUGUAAGACUGGGAUAACUCCGGGAAACCGGAGCUAAUACCGGAUAGUUCCUUGAACCGCAUGGUUCAAGGAUGAAAGACGGUUUCGGCUGUCACUUACAGAUGGACCCGCGGCGCAUUAGCUAGUUGGUGGGGUAAUGGCUCACCAAGGCGACGAUGCGUAGCCGACCUGAGAGGGUGAUCGGCCACACUGGGACUGAGACACGGCCCAGACUCCUACGGGAGGCAGCAGUAGGGAAUCUUCCGCAAUGGACGAAAGUCUGACGGAGCAACGCCGCGUGAGUGAUGAAGGUUUUCGGAUCGUAAAGCUCUGUUGUUAGGGAAGAACAAGUGCGAGAGUAACUGCUCGCACCUUGACGGUACCUAACCAGAAAGCCACGGCUAACUACGUGCCAGCAGCCGCGGUAAUACGUAGGUGGCAAGCGUUUGUCCGGGAGUGAUUGGGC
rnacentral:rRNA from 1 species